rnacentral:rRNA from 1 species
CUGGCUCAGGAUGAACGCUAGCGACAGGCCUAACACAUGCAAGUCGAGGGGCAGCGCGGGAGAAGCUUGCUUUCCUGGCGGCGACCGGCGCACGGGUGCGUAACAGGUGUGCAAUCUGUCCAUAGUCGGGGGAUAGCCCAGCGAAAGCUGAAUUAAUACUCCAUGUGAAUCGAAGCCGCAUGACUUUGAUUUGAAACGCAAGGACUAUGGGUGAGCACGCUUCUGAUUAGGUAGUUGGUGGGGUAACGGCCCACCAAGCCGACGAUCAGUAGGGGUUCUGAGAGGAAGGUCCCCCACAUUGGAACUGAGACACGGUCCAAACUCCUACGGGAGGCAGCAGUGAGGAAUAUUGGUCAAUGGGCGAGAGCCUGAACCAGCCAAGUCGCGUGAAGGAUGAAGGUUCUAUGGAUUGUAAACUUCUUUUGUCCGAGGGUAAAAAAGGCCACGUGUGGCUUCUUGCAAGUAUCGGACGAAUAAGCAUCGGCUAACUCCGUGCCAGCCGCGGC